rnacentral:rRNA from 1 species
ACGAACGCUGGCGGCGUGCCUAAUACCUGCAAGUAGAACGCUGAAGGAGGAGCUUGCUUCUCUGGAUGAGUUGCGAACGGGUGAGUAACGCGUAGGUAACCUGCCUGGUAGCGGGGGAUAACUAUUGGAAACGAUAGCUAAUACCGCAUAAGAGUAGAUGUUGCAUGACAUUUGCUUAAAAGGUGCAAUUGCAUCACUACCAGAUGGACCUGCGUUGUAUUAGCUAGUUGGUGAGGUAACGGCUCACCAAGGCAACGAUACAUAGCCGACCUGAGAGGGUGAUCGGCCACACUGGGACUGAGACACGGCCCAGACUCCUACGGGAGGCAGCAGUAGGGAAUCUUCGGCAAUGGACGGAAGUCUGACCGAGCAACGCCGCGUGAGUGAAGAAGGUUUUCGGAUCGUAAAGCUCUGUUGUAAGAGAAGAACGAGUGUGAGAGUGGAAAGUUCACACUGUGACGGUAUCUUACCAGAAAGGGACGGCUAACUACGUG